CGCGCUGCCGGCGGAUUGGGAAGUUUGACAAAUCGCUCCAGAGGCCGGAGGAGGAGGGGGCGGGGAGGAGCGGCGGCCCUGCCCCCCCCCCGCCCCGUCCCCAGACGAGGCCUCACCUGUCGGCCAGGAAAAAUGAGACUUGAAAACGGGCCAGAGUCGUCCUCCAAUGGGGAAAUUUGUCAUGGAGACACACCCAUCUCAAAUGUCCAGAAAUGCCACCUCUCUGGAGGAUGGUCCUAUCUGGGGCACGUCAGGAGUCUAGAAGGUAGACAGCAAAGGUGAGAAAGUAGAGAGCUGGCUCUCCAGCCCAGGAUGCAUGAAGGCGUGAGGGAAGGUGGCUAGGAGAAGCACCUAUCAGCAGCACAGAAGGGCCAAGUGAGCAGCUGCACGUGUGCACGCAACAGUAGCGAGUGGAAUUUGCACCAUCCAGGUCAGAAGCCUGGAAAAUCUGACAGUCUCAUUGAUUUGCUCGCCUUGCCAUCGCUACUUGAGAGGAGAAGCAAUGUGAUUUCAAAAUUGCAAUUAGGAGCCAGCCCGUUAAGGGUUCGUCUCAUGAGCUCCCGUGCUGUGCGGCUCCCAGGCCCACCUUGUCUCAUUUCCUGAGGAGGUAGGUUCAUUCAUAGUUUUGAAUGAAGCAGGCGAUGCACAUAUGUCACCCCUCCUCGGGGUGAGGCUCGUAGAUGCCUUCUGGCACUUUGCUCUCAUUUUGGUCAGGUCUUUGAAAGAAUGGCAAUUUUCUCAAUGUUUUAAAAGUAUUAACUUCCUUCCAAACAUUCUUUAACCUUUAAUGUUUUGUAACUUGAUGAAAAGGUCAUUUUGUUCUGAGGAUGCAGCUGUUCCAUAAUUGUUCAGCUAUCAGGGUGAAUUCUAUCCAAAUUCUGAGUUUUUAAUGGGACCCAAACCACCACACACACGCACACACAAUAUAGAUACUACUUUUCAUUGUUCAUCCGUGUCCAUGUAUGUGUGCAGGUCUACAUAUUUGCACCUAUGCACACACAUAUGCUUCUAGAGACUCGGAUUUAGAUUAACAUCUCUACAUUCUCACAGAAUGACUUCCUUACAGGAAAAUAUCUAUAAAACAACUUUUUUGAAUAGUAAGGUUUGCUAAAGAUUGGAUGAUAAUCAUUCCUUAUGCACUGCGCAUGUUCCUGUUUUUUAAAAAAGGGUUUAGUCAAUUUCUAAUUUAACAUUUCAUUGUUGUGCCUACAAUAAAUGCAUCCAGAAACCCAGGUGACUUGAGGUGUUUUCUGUCUGUCUUCUUACACAGUGUCACGGGCUCUCGUAGCCAUUCCCUGCCACGUUUACCUUUCUAAGGUAAACAUGGAGUCUUGGAAACAGACGUCUGGGCAUGUUAGAUUUAUAUUUUAAAUAAAGUCAAUAGGCUCAAAUAAGAGCAUGAAAGGAUUUUAUACAAGGAAAAUGCAUGAAGUUUAUGCCUGGACCCACAGUAGAUAUUUCACUUACAAGAGGCAUUGGGUGUGGUCUCCUGCGUGUCUGGGUCUGGCCCUGAUGAUUGAAUUUUUUUUUAUAUAUUUAUUUUAUUUAUUUAUUUGUUUAUUUAUUGGCUACCUUGUAUCUUCUGUUGCUACGUGCGCGGGCUUUCUCUGGUUGCCGUAAGCGGGGGCCACUCUUCGUCGUGGUGUGCGGGCUUCUCGUUGCAGUGGCUUCUCUUGUUGCAGAGCACAU